GAUGAAGAACGUAGCGAAAUGCGAUAAGUAAUGUGAAUUGCAGAAUUCAGUGAAUCAUCGAAUCUUUGAACGCACAUUGCGCCCUUUGGUAUUCCGAAGGGCAUGCCUGUUCGAGCGUCAUUAUCACCCCUCAAGCCCCGGCUUGGUGUUGGGCUCUCGGUGGUCGUCUCCGACCACCCGUCUCAAAGAUAGUGACGGCGUCCCAGAGGGAACCGGUACGAGGAGCUUUCACGAGCAUGUACGCGGGACGACUCUGCGGGCGACGGUCUUAUUUACUUUAUAUACAAGUGUUGACCUCGGAUCAGGUAGGAAUACCCGCUGAACUUAAGCAUAUCAAUAAGCGGAGGA
rnacentral:misc_RNA from 1 species